UACGAGGGGUGCAAGCGUUGCUCGGAAUCAUUGGGCGUAAAGGGUAGGUAGGUGGUCUCAUUUGUCUGGGGUGAAAGCCUUGAGCUUAACUCAAGAAGUGCCCCGGAAACGGUGAGACUAGAGUACUGGAGAGGGUCGUGGAAUUCCCGGUGUAGCGGUGAAAUGCGUAGAGAUCGGGAGGAACACCAGAGGCGAAGGCGGCGACCUGGACAGUAACUGACACUCAACUACGAAAGCGUGGGUAGCAAACAGG
rnacentral:rRNA from 1 species